AAAUUUAUUUCCCUUAAUAGAGGCUCACCUCCUCCUAUUUAAAGGGGAGGGAUCUCUCUCCUUCAUUCCUCACCUAGUCGAGCCUGGCAGCGGGAGGAACGAGGAGUUACACCCUGUUGACAAGAGAACGAGGAGUUACACCCUAUUGACAAGAGGUAGGUUUCCCUACCUUUCUUAAAAGUUUUAGCUUUUAUUUUGAUUCUUUAAAUGUUGAAAGUUUUAUAGUUUGAAAAAUGUGUAUCAAUUCUUUAAAUGUCAAAUUUUUUAUAUUAAAAUAAUCAGUUAAAGUAUUCAUAAUAUUCUUUGACCCAUGAUUAAGGUUUUUAUUGU
rnacentral:lncRNA from 1 species